rnacentral:rRNA from 1 species
AUUGAACGCUGGCGGAAUGCUUUACACAUGCAAGUCGAACGGCAGCACGGGGCAACCUGGUGGCGAGUGGCGAACGGGUGAGUAAUACAUCGGAACGUGCCCAAUCGUGGGGGAUAACGUAGCGAAAGUUACGCUAAUACCGCAUACGAUCUACGGAUGAAAGCGGGGGAUCGCAAGACCUCGCGCGAAUGGAGCGGCCGAUGUCAGAUUAGGUAGUUGGUGGGGUAAAGGCUCACCAAGCCAACGAUCUGUAGCUGGUCUGAGAGGACGACCAGCCACACUGGAACUGAGACAUGGUCCAGACUCCUACGGGAGGCAGCAGUGGGGAAUUUUGGACAAUGGGCGCAAGCCUGAUCCAGCCAUUCCGCGUGCAGGAUGAAGGCCUCGGUUGUAAC